rnacentral:rRNA from 1 species
AGAGUUUGAUCCUGGCUCAGGAUGAACGCUGGCGGCGUGCUUAACACAUGCAAGUCGAACGGGGAAUGCUUUGACAGAGACUUCGGUUGAAGUCGUUGUAUUCCUAGUGGCGGACGGGUGAGUAACGCGUGGGUAACCUGCCCCACACAGGGGGAUAACAACCAGAAAUGGCUGCUAAUACCGCAUAAGCGCACAGGGCCGCAUGGCCCGGUGUGAAAAACUCCGG